rnacentral:misc_RNA from 1 species
AACGCACAUUGCGCCCCUCGGUAUUCCGUGGGGCAUGCCUGUUCGAGCGUCGUCUACACCCCUCAAGCUCUGCUUGGUGUUGGGCGUCUGUCCCCGUCUCCGCGCGCGGACUCGCCCUAAAUGCAUUGGCAGCGGCUCCCGCCUCGGUCAGCCUCGCGCAAGCACAAAUUGCGCCUGCAGUACCGUCGUGGGCCGCGUUCCAGUGAAGCUUCUCACUCCAACGACCUCGGAUCAGGUAGGGAUACCCGCUGAACUUAA